rnacentral:lncRNA from 1 species
UACUGUUAAGUGGUGGUCUCUUAGAUGAUUGGGAGAAUAUUUAAUUUUAAGGCUCAUGUAUAAUGAGAAGGGAGGUAAUGAAUUUUUUAGGCGUAUGACUUUCUGAUAGAAUUUUAAAUGAAUGUUUUUUAAGUAGAAAAACAGGUCUCUGGAUUAUGCGGUCCUUCCUCCCUUGCCCCUGUUUCAUGCCCAGUGUGCCCGUCAGAGCUCUGUCAGGACUGAUGCCCACUGGCAGAGAGGAGAGAAGGAGAUGCAGAGGGGAACACGUGUGAAGACCGUCACUGUGGCUGCUGAGCCUGGUGCCAAGAAGUGGACCUUGGACUUUGAGUGGGAUGCAGCGAGGACUUCUGAAUGGAAGGCUCAUAAGAUGAUACAGGAAGAUGGAUCCAGCAGCAGCGGGCAUUAGAAGGGAGGAGCAGGACAUCCUGUACGUGUGUUCUUUCCUUUCUGUUCACAUUGUUGUUCUCCACUGAAGUCUUUUUUGCUCUUGCUCAAACAUCUCUGGUGACUCUCCCCUUUUACAGAAGAGUCUCAACUUUCAGCCUGCUUGCCAAGCACUUCCAACACAGAUGUCCCCGGCUAUCAGAAAGUAUGAAAACUCUCAUGAGCUGAAAUGAUGUAAAGUGAAGAAGCAAUUACCCUAGGACACAUCUUGAUAAUGAAUGCACAAAGUAAACUGAGAUAAACCCAGAUACUCACAGACAGUUCAAAGUGGUGGUGGCUUGAGGCUGUGAUGCUGAGGGUAGUUCCCAGAGAGGAACCUGGGGGAACCGCUCUCCCUGCCUCUGUAACAGCUUACUGAAAAACAACCACUUUUCUUUUCUCCCUUUUUUUUUUGUAAAAGUGAAAACCCUUUUUCGAUUUCUUUUGGUUAGUGGAAACAGGUACUAAUGUAGGUCUUUCUUAAAAGUGAAAUCACACAAAGCAAACUUUCAAAAAGUGGGGGAUACCUGUAUUUUGUUCCUAACAGCUUCAUUUUCCUCUUCUAUGUGAAGUUCCUCCCAUGAACUCCAUCCUUUACCCAGACAGAUGAUUCAUUCAAAAUUGUGUCAAACCCUUGGCCACUUCCAUGCUUUGACUCUUGGGAUUUUCAUCGUUUGCUUAUCCAUGCCAUGAUUCCAUGCAUGAUGCCCACAUCAUGUUCAUCCUUCUCUGCAAGUCUUCCUGCCUUCAGAAAUGGCCCUUUCUUCUUAAUUUCUGAAGCAAUCCUUGUUCAUCUGUUCACUGAUCACCUAGCGUGUGCUUACAUGCUCUCCUAGACACCUCUUGCUGUAUACCAUAUCCCCCUUUCUAGAUUAUAAACUUUCAGAAAUGACACCUGAGUUCUUGUGUUUUGUAAAAAUUCCUCUGAGGCUUCAGUAAAUGUAUGUUGUCCAAUAUGGGGAUAGUGGAAAUAGAGAGGAAGA